GCCAGAAAAAUGAAAUGGGAGUUUUAAAGGGACAAAUUAAUGAUUUAAAAGGUCAUCGUUGGAUUAGUAUCAGAGGUAAAAACCACGCUAAUAUGUUAUGUUACACCAGGUCAUUCUUCAACAAAAUAUUCUAAUUUAUUUCCUGUUCUAUCAGAGGGCAAAUUGAAAGAAAUUGAAGAUAAAAUAGACGACGAAACAAAUUUUGCAAUGCAGGUUGGUAAAUGAGGGCAAGCGGAAUAAAUCCUUAGAUCAUUUGAAGAAAUGCAAAUUAAGCUCAGGUGUUAGUAAGUUGUGGUCCCGACGAAGAAGGAUGACAGGG